rnacentral:lncRNA from 1 species
CUUUCAUCCAAAAAGGUACCUGCUUACCCAUUGCCUUGUAUCAAAAGGAACUACAGNAGCUGCUAUCAGAACACCUGACAUUUCCAAAAUAUGGUUUGCAGGUCCAAAAGGGUCUGUACUGACAUUCUACUAAAAUCACAGUAUUCCACACCAUUUGUUGAUCUUACUGGAGCUGCCUCACCUUCAGCUGUGCCUAUCAAGAGUCAAUACAGAUCUAAUGUUCAAGAGAAGUGUCUGCAGGAGAAGGACAAUGUUGCUUNUUUAUUGUUCUCUCAGAAUUCAACCAUAUAUAGAAGGAUGACCUCCUCUUUCAAGAUCAGGGUUUAUAUCAAAAACAUUUAAUUGCAGGGCAGUCUGGCAUUAAGAAAUAUGGAGAUCAAAGAGGUAACUGAGAACAAAAAUCUCACCCAUCUUCAUGCUUCUUAGGGUUUAAAUUCCAGUGUGCAAGAAGAAGUGAGGACAGACAAGCAACCAGAUGUCUGGAGUGCAGAGCUAUUGCAUGAAAUGAAAGCUUCGCCUUCUGACAAGGUAUUUUGGGUCACUUUGAAGGGGNGACCCAGCAGCUUCCAUAGGUUUGCUGAAUACAACAGGGAAUUUGUUAUGUUACAANAAAAAUACUAUGAGAAAUCCUCAANGAAUGAAUAUGAUNUGAAGAGGAAGCUGGGGGAANCNGUAUUUUUUAAAAAAUUAUUACAUUAAAUUGAUUUUUAAAAUUAUAGUAUUAUGUUGAAUGGAUACAUACCAUCAUAGUUUUACCACUAGAUGGCAAUAUUGUUCAUUUCUAAGCCUUUAUAUGCUGUCNCUGCUCUGCAGAUUCAGGUCUGCUUCUGCCCAAACAGCCUAAUGACUAUUUUAUNUCUUUGCCUGUAACUGCACUCUCUGUUACUCUCUACAAUCUUGAGACACAAAAAUAAGGAGGCUUUCUUUUAAAAAUAACUUUAUACAGAAGCACAACUUGGAUAAUGAGUGCUUUGCAAACGCAAGCUGCUGCAGAUGAUGGAGAAUUGGCACAUGUACACGUGUUG